UUAUUUUAUUUAUGUUUGAUUAUUUUAUUUAUGUUGAUGAUUUUAUUAAUGUUGAUGAUUUUAUUUAUGUUGGAUAGUUUAUAUUUUCAACCUUAUCAUACUUUUGGCAUAAUAUUAUAUUCAUAAGAAAAGAUGGUCAGAAAAAAAACCCUUUUAAAUCAUUUUAAAGAAACAGUUGUUAAAUUAUUUGUAGCCUCUAUAGAAAAAUCAAAACUAUGUUGCAGGAAAUGAACAACAACCAAGAGACUAGAACCUUCGGGUCUCGUGACUCGGCAGACCGCGCGCUUCUUCUUUACAUCACUUAUUCUUUUCUGUUUCUGACAUGUCUUGAGGAUUGCACCAAAUCCUGGAUCAAACCUGGCAACCCAGAAACCGAAACCUGAACGCACUCCUGACCUGUCGGAACAUUUGUCUCUGAGCGGUUCUAGAGACUCGGUGGUUCUGAACAUCCAGCAGAAUCCGGAUCAGAACAUCAGGUGGUUUCUACGCGGGACUCGGCUCUAAAGAUCCAGUUCUUCUCUCCACUGGGGGGUUCGGAUGUUCUGGACCCCGAACAUCUGACCCCACAGCAGAGCUGCAGGUCCAGAACCAGAACCGGCUCCAGGCGCGCGCGGUGACAUAAAAGUAAUCGAUUACAUGCAGGCAAGGCGGGUUCUGAACCCGGAAACGGAAGUCCAAACCUUUGUCUCCUCGGAGGUCUCUAGGCGAACCGCUAGCGGGUCAGUGCUGGUUCCGGGUCCGUUUCCCUCCAGAACCCCUGACGAUCACGUGACCCGGAGAGGUCUGAGUCCACAGGAAGCCGGAGGCGGGUCAGCCGUGCAGUUCGCCCCGCCCACAACAGCGACGAGCGGAUUGGCUGAAAGGAAGAGACCCCCCCACCCCCCGCUGUUUUUGGAUGACGUCAUCAGGAGAUCCUCGUGCAGACUCAGCAGACAUUCAGUCCUCUGAUGGACUCAGUAACCAGCUGUUGGAAUCCCUCGUCGAUGGCGUGUGGACUCUUCACCAUCGUGGUUUUCCUGCAGAUGAUGAUGGCUGCAGGUCAUCAGAAUUCUCCUGAAGUCUGGUGGACCUGAAACUUCAAUCUGGAUGAUCCUCGGACCUCAUUGGUGUUCUGGAACGUUCUUCCAUCUGAGCCGUGUUGAGAAGCUCCUGAAUGAUGUCAUGCUGACACUUCAACAAUCGUUUCCAUCUUUUCCUUCUCUGGAAACCAACAGCUGUCAGUGGUGUCGACAGAUCAAGCUGUCAAAGGAAAACGGUGGAGAAGCGAGCUGUCGCUGUAGUCCAGAAUCAGACUGUGACAGAUCACCCUGAAGGUCUCAAACUGACCAAGAAACCCCUAUAAGUGAAUCCAGCAAACAGAAACGUCUGUGGACGAGGUUUGGGUCAGGAGGAGCUCAGAGAUCAUCCAGAACCUCCAGAACAAUCUACUGGACCGGCUUUCAGAGGACACGGGGGGUUCAGUUAUUUUCGCAAGAACACUUCAACACAUGGAAUCUGGAACCUGCAAUCUUCUGAUCAGAGGUUGACAGCCCUCCCGCAGCACCAUGGCGGCCGUGGUGCAGCGCCCCGACUGCUUUUCUGAGGUCUCCCUCGGCUGAGAGGGCGUUCCCUCUCUUCACGGUGUUGAUGAUGGACACGUAGCAGAAGAGCAUGAGGAGGACGGGGAUGAAGAAGCAGAAGAUGAAGAUGGAGACGAUGUAGGACUUGUAGAUGCUGG